UUUUCAAACCAAAGACGCAAGGAGGAAAUUUCAAAGCAAAUAAAAACAACUUCAGAAGUACCAAUCCAAAUGAAAAUUCAAACACAUGUUUUGAAUGUAAGCAGCCUGGACACUUCAAGAAGGACUGUCCAAAACUAGUCAACAACAAAGUUUUUGUAGCCGAAGAAGGAUGGGACCUAAGUGACGAGGAAGAAACUGCUGAGAAAAAUGAAGAAGUUGUAAAUCUGUGCUUAAUGGCAGAUAAUGACUCAUCACCAAGAUCUAAGGUAAAUUUUGAACAUCAACUGCCUAGCACUUCAUUUUCUUCAUACACACUAGAAAAUAUAAAUGAAGAACACUAUGCAUUAUAAGAAGCAUAUAGUCAUUUAUAU
rnacentral:lncRNA from 1 species